UUGACCUCUGACCUCAAAUCAGGUAGGAUUACCCGCUGAACUUAAGCAUAUCAAUAACCCGAACG
rnacentral:rRNA from 1 species